GAUGAAGAACGCAGCGAAAUGCGAUAAGUAAUGUGAAUUGCAGAAUUCAGUGAAUCAUCGAAUCUUUGAACGCACAUUGCGCCCUCUGGUAUUCCGGGGGGCAUGCCUGUUCGAGCGUCAUUACAACCCUCAGGCCCCCGGGCCUGGCGUUGGGGAUCGGCGGAAGCCCCCUGCGGGCACAACGCCGUCCCCCAAAUACAGUGGCGGUCCCGCCGCAGCUUCCAUUGCGUAGUAGCUAACACCUCGCAACUGGAGAGCGGCGCGGCCACGCCGUAAAACACCCAACUUCUGAAUGUUGACCUCGAAUCAGGUAGGAAUACCCGCUGAACUUAAGCAUAUCAAUAAGCGGAGGA
rnacentral:misc_RNA from 1 species